rnacentral:tRNA from 1 species
GCCCUUGUAGCUCAGCCGGUAGAGCGCAUGGCUGUUAACCAUGAAGUCGGCAGUUCGAGUCUGCCCAAGGGCG